rnacentral:tRNA from 1 species
GCCAGUGUGGCAUAGUGGUUUGAGUAUUGAAUUAUGACUCUGGAGGCCAUGGUUCGAUUCCCAGCUUGGCCA